rnacentral:rRNA from 1 species
UGGUGCCUACGGGACGCAGCAGUGAGGAAUAUUGGUCAAUGGUCGGGAGACUGAACCAGCCACGCCGCGUGAGGGAGGAAGGUACAGAGUAUCGUAAACCUCUUUUGUCAGGGAACAAAGACUGGGACGCGUCCCCGGAUGAGUGUACCUGAAGAAAAAGCAUCGGCUAACUCCGUGCCAGCAGCCGCGGUAAUACGGAGGAUGCGAGCGUUAUCCGGAUUUAUUGGGUUUAAAGGGUGCGCAGGCGGUCUGUUAAGUCAGCGGUCAAAGCCCGGGGCUCAACCCCGACCCGCCGUUGAAACUGG